UACGGGGGGAGCAAGCGUUGUUCGGAUUUACUGGGCGUAAAGGGCGCGUAGGCGGCCACCGCAAGUCGACUGUGAAAUCUCCGGGCUUAACCCGGAAAGGUCAGCCGAUACUGUGGGGCUAGAGUGCAGAAGGGGCAACUGGAAUUCUCGGUGUAGCGGUGAAAUGCUUAGAUAUGACAUAGAACACCAAUUGCGAAGGCAGCUCGUUACACGAAUAUUGACUCUGAGGCACGAAAGCGUGGGGAUCAAACAGG
rnacentral:rRNA from 1 species